GGCACAACAAGGAGGAGCAGGCGCGCAAAUUACCCAAUCCUGACUCAGGGAGGUAGUGACAAGAAAUAACAAUAAACCGGCUUAUGCCGGUUUAAUUGGAAUGAGUACAAUUUAAACAUCUUAACGAGGAACAAUUGGAGGGCAAGUCUGGUGCCAGCAGCCGCGGUAAUUCCAGCUCCAAUAGCGUAUACUAAAGUUGUUGCAGUUAAAAAGCUCGUAGUUGGAUUUCUGUGGGGACGGAGCGGCCGGCCGCAACACGCGGUUCGAGCUAGCGCUUUCCCUACAUCCUGCCGCGAACCGUGCUACCAUUAGUUUGGUGGCGCCGGGGAUCGGCUCGAUUACUUUGAGAAAAAUAGAGUGUUCAAAGCAGGCCACACGCCUUGAAUAAGUUAGCAUGGAAUAAUAACUAAGGACUUCGGUUCUAUUUUGUUGGUGUUCGGGACUGAAGUAAUGAUUGAUAGGGACAGUUGGGGCGGUCUGUAUUCCAAAGCGAGAGGUGACAUUCUUAGACCUUCGGAAGACAAACAGCUGCGAAAGCGUUCCGCAAGGAUGUUCCCUUUGAUCAAGAACGAAAGUUGGGGGAUCGAAGACGAUCAGAUACCGUCGUAGUCUCAACUAUAAACUAUACCAGCUAGGGAUCGGCCAACGUUAUUCUAUACCGACUUGGUCGGCACCUUAUGAGAAAUCAAAGCAUCUGGGUUCCGGGGGGAGUAUGGUCGCAAGGCUGAAACUUAAAGGAAUUGACGGAAGGGCACCACCAGCCGUGGAGCCUGUGGCUUAAUUUGACUCAACACGGGAAAACUUACCAGGUCCAGACAUAGUAAGGAUUGGCAGAUUGAUAGCUCUUUCUUGAUUCUGUGGGUGGUGGUGCAUGGCCGUUCUUAGUUGGUGGAGUGAUUUGUCUGGUUAAUUCCGUUAACGAACGAGACCCCAGCCUGCUAAAUAGCGCGUGUGAGCUUUGCUCGCGGCGAGCUUCUUAGAGGGACUAUGAUGCGCGAUAGCACAUGGAAGUUUGGGGCAAUAACAGGUCUGUGAUGCCCUUAGAUGUUCUGGGCCGCACACGGGCUACACUGGCGCCUGCAACGAGCAUAUCAGCUGGCCCGAGAGGGUCUUGGCUAAUCUUUUGAACCGGCGCCGUGCUUGGGAUUGACCUUUGCAAUUGUUGGUCAUGCAACGAGGAAUGCCUUGUAAACGCGAGUCAUCAGCUCGCAUUGAAUACGUCCCUGCCCUUUGUACACACCGCCCGUCGCUCCUACCGAUGAAUGUUCCGAUGAAAUUUUCGGAGAGUGCCUGUGAACUUGGCUCUGCCUUGCGAACGGGAAGCUCAAAGUCACUUAAAUCUGAACAUGAGA
rnacentral:rRNA from 1 species